rnacentral:rRNA from 1 species
UUCUUUAUCACCGAGUGCUUGCACUCACCGAUAAAGAGUUGAGUGGCGAACGGGUGAGUAACACGUGGGCAACCUGCCCAAAAGAGGGGGAUAACACUUGGAAACAGGUGCUAAUACCGCAUAACCAUAGUUACCGCAUGGUAACUAUGUAAAAGGUGGCUAUGCUACCGCUUUUGGAUGGGCCCGCGGCGCAUUAGCUAGUUGGUGGGGUAAAGGCUUACCAAGGCAAUGAUGCGUAGCCGAACUGAGAGGUUGAUCGGCCACAUUGGGACUGAGACACGGCCCAAACUCCUACGGGAGGCAGCAGUAGGGAAUCUUCCACAAUGGGCGAAAGCCUGAUGGAGCAACGCCGCGUGGGUGAAGAAGGUCUUCGGAUCGUAAAACCCUGUUGUUAGAGAAGAAAGUGCGUGAGAGUAACUGUUCACGUUUCGACGGUAUCUAACCAGAAAGCCACGGCUAACUACGUGCCAGCAGCCGCGGUAAUACGUAGGUGGCAAGCGUUAUCCGGAUUUAUUGGGCGUAAAGGGAACGCAGGCGGUCUUUUAAGUCUGAUGUGAAAGCCUUCGGCUUAACCGGAGUAGUGCAUUGGAAACUGGGAGACUUGAGUGCAGAAGAGGAGAGUGGAACUCCAUGUGUAGCGGUGAAAUGCGCAGAUAUAUGGAAGAACACCAGUGGCGAAAGCGGCUCUCUGGUCUGUAACUGACGCUGAGGUUCGAAAGCGUGGGU